GCAGUAGUGGCUCAGGGGUAGAAUUCUCGCCUUCUGUGUGGGAAACCCGGGUUCGAUUCCCAGCCAAUGCA
rnacentral:tRNA from 1 species